rnacentral:lncRNA from 1 species
UUUAAAAAAAAAAAAAAAAUCUGUGAAUUCCCAUAAUUUACAUUGCUACUAUUUGUCUUUGCUUUCCCAAAUGUACCAAGUACCUUCCUUUUCUAGCUUGAAGUCUUUGUACAUGGGCUUCACAGCCUGCAAUAUGGUUCUGUGCGUUUGCAUCUGCUUUUCACUUCUGAUCUCAGAGAUGCCUGACUGAGCAAAGGCUGCCCAGCCCCUCUCCACGGUUCCUCCUCCAGAGGCUAUAAUUGCCAUUGGAGGACUGGUGCACGGUCGCCUGGCUUGAGUCUUUCCUUUCCUGCCGCACAGCCACAAUGAAUGCCAUGUUAACAGGCUUCUAAGCAUUCAGUGUUCCCAGUGAGUCUAUGUUAGGUGCUCCAAAGAAGUCCCAAAUGGAUGAUUAGUACUGUGGGGGAAAUACUUAUAUUAUUUUGAAGAAAAUGUGAUACUGUUUUUGAAUGUUAUACUGCGUUUUGUUUUUCAGGUAAUUAGAUUUUUUAAAUAAGUAAGGUAUUUAUUUUGGUGCUGUGAUUUGAAUGCAUGCCAGGGAGAGAAGGCCAACUUGUAAAAGUUAUUCCCCUAACUUCUAUCUGUGCCCUGACACAUGCAAAAACGUAAAUAAAAUGUAAUCUUUCCAAAACCAUAAUGACUUUGGGAGAUGAUUUUAAUAGCACAGAGUAGGUCAUUAAUGAUUGCUUGUAAAUUGGCAUUGCAUUUACCCUUGGCCUUGCCACACAGCAUACACUAUGGUCGUGGCCGUUGUGACAGCUUAUUUACACUGACCAGAAAGGCUUCAAGAUCCAAUCCUUAAUGCAGUGGUUUGUUUUAUUGUGUUGUUUUUCUGGAAACUAUUCUAGAAGUAAGUCAGUAGGAAUUGGCAGAGUGCUGAACUCUGUUUUCCAGCCUGGCAUUAAGUAUUUUCUGAUGAGCCUCUUUUGAAAAAGAAUGCUGUAAGGGUUAGUGACUUAGUCAUUCUUUAUAUAUGACAACUGUCACUAGUGGAAUCCUCUUUUUCCUCUAUAACAGCUUCUCCCUUUGGAUGCCAUGUAUAUAAUUUGCUGACAUAGAAUGUGGUUCUGUACUUUGAGUUCACACCAAUUUAUUCUGGAACAGUGUUUCCAAUGCCCCUAAUUUUCUAGAAAUCUUUAGUGGUUUACAAAGAUGGUAGACUUUAUAAUUUAGUGUAUGUGUGAGUGUGUGUGUGUUCAAAUACGCCUGACACUCUGCCCUGCUUCUUUGAGGCAGUCUCCUUGUUUUUGGCUAUCCCGAUAGCCAAAAAGCCCCAGUGAUCCUCCUACUGCUCCUCACAGCACAGUGUCACUGGGGAGGUAAACAUGCCAAGGGACCAGGCUUGGCUUGUGAUGUGUGUCAGGAUCUGAACUCAGGUCCUCGUGGUUAUGCAGCCAGCACUCUUAAUCACAGAGCCAUCAUCUCUCUAGCUCCGUUUCAUCAUCUUGGAUGUUCGCUUACUUCAACCAUUCUAUAUAGCAAAAAAUAUGGGAAGACAUAAAAGGAUGAGAGCAGUGGAGUUCUAGUUGCACCACGUAGGAGUGAUUCUGUUGGAAGCUGUUCUUUUGAGAAGAUCCAUGUCAGUAGCUGUGCUCCUCAAUGAGAAAGCAGGCCCAAGGAUUCAGCUUCCAAGAACUUAGUACCUGUAACCGUUGAGGAGCUCCUUUGUAGAGUUUGUUUUCUUUAUACUACUAGUUCAUCUACCUUAAAUGGACCCAUGCUUCUAAAUCAGAUGGUGCCUUUCUGUUUAAUUUUCUGAUGCCCUAGAAUGCAAGGUUGUGUAUGGCAAUACAAGAUGUGUGUUGUAUUUAUUGAGCAUGAGUGUGUGAGGCCAUAUGUUGGGUACAGUAGAUCAUUAUGAUAUGGGCUGACUUAAUUGUGUCAUAAGCUGUGGACAUAAAAGGACAUCAGGAUCCUUGCACAAAUUUGGGGAAAAUGUAUAAAAGGAUAAAGCAGAAAUUUGAGCUCACAAAUCCGAUCACCAAUUUUCUGCUUUGUAUUUUAAGGUAACUAUUAAGAAAUGAGCAUUUUCUAGGAUAGAAGUACUCUUUAAAGCACAAUUGCUUAACCUUAUUAGGGAAAGAACUACAUGCAAGUCACCUGGCUGGCUAGUGCCUAGCACAGGGGUGGACAAGCACUGAUCACCUGUGAGCUCUUAGAAUAGGGACAGCCAAGAUUGCCCUGCAUCUGGCCAGUCUGCAGAAACACAGCCUCCCUGGGAACCCAAGUGAUGGGGAUGGGAAACUGACUUUAAGCACCAGCCUGUUUGUUUCCUCUCUACCUUCUUGGGCCUGACUGUGCCCCGAGGAAGGCUAGCCUGCAGUCCUCAUGCGGCAGCUUUCUGCUCAGUGCUAAGGGAGAUUAAUGAAUGCCUUCUUUCUGCCCAUUUUACCUCUAUGAAUAUUUUCCUCCUUUCCUAUCUUCUAUUUAUUGCAUUAAUAUAUUUUUAAACAAAAUUAAGCCAAUCUCCUUUCUAUUAUAUAUUUCCUCGUGUAUAGGUUUCAGUUGUUUCACAUAAUGUUAAUCAUAGUUUAAGAUACUUAAUUUCACCUUGGGUAAAUCUCAAGGUGCCUUUCUUCUUUCUCUUCCAUGUAUGUAAAAUACACUUUACUUAAAGGUUAGCUAUUUCUUUAGGAAGUUCUAGUAUUCAGUAUCUAUAGUUAUUAUUAGUUAGGGUUAAAAACAUUAGCUUGGCGGUGGUGGCGCACGCCUUUCAUCCCAGCCCUUGGGAGGCAGAAGCAGGCAGAUUUCUGAGUUCGAGGCCAGUCUUGUCUACAGAGUAAGUUCCAGGACAGCCAGGGCUACACAGAGAAACCCUGUCUCGAAAAAACAAAACAAGAAAAAACAAAAAACAAAAAAACAAAAAACAAAACUAAAAAAUUAAAAGCAAAACAAUUCAAUUUUUAUUUAAUCAUCUUUUUUGAUACUGAGUUCAUUGCCUUGCAUGUACUGACAAGCACUCUUAAGGAUACAACCCUGGCCUCUGAAAUUCAAAUUAUAAUUUAAAAUUUUGACCAUUUUAACAUUGUUUUUCCUUAGUAUCAGGUCAAUUUGAUAAUAGUUUUAUCUCAUGAAC